ACUCCUACGGGAAGGCAGCAGUGGGGAAUAUUGCACAAUGGGCGCAAGCCUGAUGCAGCCAUGCCGCGUGUGUGAAGAAGGCCUUCGGGUUGUAAAGCACUUUCAGUCGUGAGGAAGGUAGUGUAGUUAAUAGCUGCAUUAUUUGACGUUAGCGACAGAAGAAGCACCGGCUAACUCCGUGCCAGCAGCCGCGGUAAUACGGAGGGUGCGAGCGUUAAUCGGAAUUACUGGGCGUAAAGCGCAUGCAGGUGGUUUGUUAAGUCAGAUGUGAAAGCCCGGGGCUCAACCUCGGAAUAGCAUUUGAAACUGGCAGACUAGAGUACUGUAGAGGGGGUAGAAUUUCAGGUGUAGCGGUGAAAUGCGUAGAGAUCUGAAGGAAUACCGGUGGCGAAGGCGGCCCCUGGACAGAUACUGACACUCAGAUGCGAAAGCGUGGGAGCAAACAGGAUUAGAUACCCCUGGUAGACUGUCA
rnacentral:rRNA from 1 species